UUGACCUCGGAUCAGGUAGGACUACCCGCUGAACUUAAGCAUAUCAAUAAGCGGAGGAAAAGAAACCAACAGGGAUUGCCCCAGUAACGGCGAGUGAAGCGGCAACAGCUCAAAUUUGAAAUCUGGCCUUCGGGUCCGAGUUGUAAUUUGUAGAGGAUGCUUUUGGCGCGGUGCCUUCC
rnacentral:rRNA from 1 species